rnacentral:rRNA from 1 species
UCAGCGGCGAACGGGUGAGUAACACGUGAAUAACCUGCCCCUUACAUCGGGAUAGCCAUUGGAAACGAUGAUUAAUACCGAAUACUUUCACUUUGAGGCAUCUCAGGGUGAAGAAAGAUUUAUCGGUAAGGGAUGGAUUCGCGGGAUAUCAGCUUGUUGGUGAGGUAAUGGCUCACCAAGGCUAUGACGUCUAUCCGGCCUGAGAGGGUGAACGGACACAUUGGGACUGAGAUACGGCCCAGACUCCUACGGGAGGCAGCAGUGGGGAAUAUUGCACAAUGGGCGCAAGCCUGAUGCAGCGACGCCGCGUGGUGGAUAUGAAGGGUUUCGGCUCGUAAACACCUGUCGUAUACUAGUAAGCGCAAGUGAACAGUAUACAAGAAAGGACCGGCUAACUACGUGCCAGCAGCCGCGGUAAUACGUAGGGUCCAAGCGUUAUCCGGAAUUAUUGGGCGUAAAGAGCUCGUAGGUGGCGUAUCGCGUCUGAUGUGAAAACGAUCGGCUUAACCGGUCGCCUGCAUCGGGUACGGAUAUGCUAGAGUGUGGUAGGGGAAACUGGAAUUCCUGGUGUAGCGGUGGAAUGCACAGAUAUCAGGAAGAACACCAAUGGCGAAGGCAGGUUUCUGGGCCAUUACUGACACUGAGGAGCGAAAGCGUGGGGAGCGAACAGGAUUAGAUACCCUGGUAGUCCACGCCGUAAACGGUGGGCACUAGACGUCGGGAGUUUCGAGCUUUCGGUGUCGCAGCUAACGCAUUAAGUGCCCCGCCUGGGGAGUACGGCCGCAAGGCUAAAACUCAAAGAAAUUGACGGGGAUCCGCACAAGCAGCGGAGCAUGCGGAUUAAUUCGAUGCAACGCGAAGAACCUUACCAAGGCUUGACAUAUACGGGAAAGCUGCUAGAGAUAGCGGCCCUCUUCGGACUCGUAUACAGGUGGUGCAUGGUUGUCGUCAGCUCGUGCCGUGAGGUGUUGGGUUAAGUCCCGCAACGAGCGCAACCCCUACUGCCAGUUACUAACAGGUGAUGCUGAGGACUCUGGCGGAACUGCCGGUGACAAACCGGAGGAAGGUGGGGAUGACGUCAAGUCAUCAUGGCCCUUAUGUCCAGGGCUACACACGUGCUACAAUGGGCGGUACAACGUGACGCGAAACCGUGAGGUUAUAGCGAAGCACAAAAAGCCGCCCGUAGUUCGGAUUGAAGUCUGAAACCCGACUCCAUGAAGUUGGAAUCGCUAGUAAUCGCGCAUCAGCACGGCGCGGUGAAUACGUUCCCGGGCCUUGUACACACCGCCCGUCACACCAUCCGAGUAGAGGGUACCCGAAGCCGGCAGCCUAACCCGCAAGGGAGGGCGCUGUCGAAGGUAUGUUUUGUGAGGAGGGUGAA